rnacentral:rRNA from 1 species
GGUAAUGCCGGAUGCUCCGACUCCUCGCAUGGGGUGUCGGGAAAGAUUUCAUCGGUAUGGGAUGGGGUCGCGUCCUAUCAGGUAGUCGGCGGGGUAACGGCCCACCGAGCCUACGACGGGUAGCCGGCCUGAGAGGGCGACCGGCCACAUUGGGACUGAGAUACGGCCCAGACUCCUACGGGAGGCAGCAGUGGGGAAUAUUGCACAAUGGGCGCAAGCCUGAUGCAGCGACGCCGCGUGCGGGAUGACGGCCUUCGGGUUGUAAACCGCUUUUGAUCGGGAGCAAGCCUUCGGGUGAGUGUACCUUUCGAAUAAGCACCGGCUAACUACGUGCCAGCAGCCGCGGUAAUACGUAGGGUGCAAGCGUUAUCCGGAAUUAUUGGGCGUAAAGGGCUCGUAGGCGGUUCGUCGCGUCCGGUGUGAAAGUCCAUCGCUUAACGGUGGAUCUGCGCCGGGUACGGGCGGGCUGGAGUGCGGUAGGGGAGACUGGAAUUCCCGGUGUAACGGUGGAAUGUGUAGAUAUCG